AAGACGGUGAAGCUGGAGCCCAACGCCGUUCUGGGCUUCUACCUGCGGGUCACGUGCAAGGAGGAGAAGAGUCUGAGGAACAACAAGAACUUCACCACGCUGGAUGUUCAGAAGAACGGCGUUCGCUUCACAAACAGCAAGCUGAGCUCUCUGAACGAGGAGUACACCA